rnacentral:rRNA from 1 species
GAUGAACGCUGGCGGCGUGCCUAAUACAUGCAAGUCGAGCGAACAGACGAGGAGCUUGCUCCUCUGACGUUAGCGGCGGACGGGUGAGUAACACGUGGAUAACCUACCUAUAAGACUGGGAUAACUUCGGGAAACCGGAGCUAAUACCGGAUAACAUGUUGAACCGCAUGGUUCAACAGUGAAAGACGGUCUUGCUGUCACUUAUAGAUGGAUCCGCGCCGCAUUAGCUAGUUGGUAAGGUAACGGCUUACCAAGGCAACGAUGCGUAGCCGACCUGAGAGGGUGGUCGGCCACCCUGGAACUGAGACACGGUCCCGACUCCCACGGGAGGCAGCAGGAGGGAAUCUUCCGCAAAGGGGGAAAGCCUGACGGAGCAACGCCGCGGGAGUGAAGAAGGUCUUCGGAUCGUAAAACUCUGUUAUUAGGGAAGAACAAAUGUGUAAGUAACUAUGCACGUCUUGACGGUACCUAAUCAGAAAGCCACGGCUAACUACGUG